rnacentral:rRNA from 1 species
GACGAACGCUGGCGGCGUGCUUAACACAUGCAAGUCGAACGGAAAGGCCCUGCUUGCAGGGUACUCGAGUGGCGAACGGGUGAGUAACACGUGGGUGAUCUGCCAUGCACUUCGGGAUAAGCCUGGGAAACUGGGUCUAAUACCGGAUAGGAGCCAUUUUUAGUGUGAUGGUUGGAAAGUUUUUUCGGUGUAGGAUGAGCUCGCGGCCUAUCAGCUUGUUGGUGGGGUAAUGGCCUACCAAGGCGGCGACGGGUAGCCGGCCUGAGAGGGUGGACGGCCACAUUGGGACUGAGAUACGGCCCAGACUCCUACGGGAGGCAGCAGUGGGGAAUAUUGCACAAUGGGCGCAAGCCUGAUGCAGCGACGCCGCGUGGGGGAUGACGGCCUUCGGGUUGUAAACUCCUUUCGCUAGGGACGAAGCUUUUUGUGACGGUACCUAGAUAAGAAGCACCGGCUAACUACGUG